ACCCAUAUGAUAGCUCAGUUGGUACAGCACAAGACUCUUAAUCUCAGGUUGUGGGUUCGAACCCCAUGUUGGGCA